AUCUGUCUUUGUUGGACUUGGUCAACUAGCACAAAUAACAGAUUUACCCCUCUGUUAUCUGAUUUUGACCGAGGGUUUCCGAUGUUUAGUGUGCACUCGUGGUCAAUUGACGAACUCCUCGGUGGACUGUGAAAUGGAGGCUACAUAGAAGUUAAACAGUAAUUUAGAGCAAAUAUCCCCAUUCAUGAAAAUGCAGCCGAGGACUGACAUUUCAAAGCGCAGUAUGCCAGAUCAGGUAGUAUUAAAAACUGUGUGGACGGUCGAGACAACAUCUCUCGGAGGGAUUGCCUUGUUUAUUGGAUCUGAGGCUUUGGUCGACCCAGGUUCCCCCAGAGACGUUCUAUUGUCAUGCUCAGGAAGCUUUCAGAACCUCAAGGUGCAGUCACUCUGAAUGAGUGAGAAGGGUACAGCACACAGAAGGGAUUGGUUCCCCUGAGAGAGUUCCAUUCUGCUGGAAGGCCAUGAGAGCCAUUCUACUUCAGGACUGUGGGAUCACACUAUUUUGGAAUGAUGAAAGCAAGCUACAAAGUCCUGGUACUUGAAAAUAAAUAAACAACAAUUCAGCUUCUAAAAUGU